GCUUAACACAUGCAAGUCGAACGGAAAGGCCCUGCUUUUGUGGGGUGCUCGAGUGGCGAACGGGUGAGUAACACGUGAGUAACCUGCCCUUGACUUUGGGAUAACUUCAGGAAACUGGGGCUAAUACCGGAUAGGAGCUCCUGCUGCAUGGUGGGGGUUGAAAAGUUUCGGCGGUUGGGGAUGGACUCGCGGCUUAUCAGCUUGUUGGUGGGGUAGUGGCUUACCAAGGCUUUGACGGGUAGCCGGCCUGAGAGGGUGACCGGCCACAUUGGGACUGAGAUACGGCCCAGACUCCUACGGGAGGCAGCAGUGGGGAAUAUUGCACAAUGGGCGGAAGCCUGAUGCAGCAACGCCGCGUGCGGGAUGACGGCCUUCGGGUUGUAAACCGCUUUCGCCUGUGACGAAGCGUGAGUGACGGUAAUGGGUAAAGAAGCACCGGCUAACUACGUGCCAGCAGCCGCGGUGAUACGUAGGGUGCGAGCGUUGUCCGGAUUUAUUGGGCGUAAAGGGCUCGUAGGUGGUUGAUCGCGUCGGAAGUGUAAUCUUGGGGCUUAACCCUGAGCGUGCUUUCGAUACGGGUUGACUUGAGGAAGGUAGGGGAGAAUGGAAUUCCUGGUGGAGCGGUGGAAUGCGCAGAUAUCAGGAGGAACACCAGUGGCGAAGGCGGUUCUCUGGGCCUUUCCUGACGCUGAGGAGCGAAAGCGUGGGGAGCGAACAGGCUUAGAUACCCUGGUAGUCCACGCUGUAAACGGUGGGUACUAGGUGUGGGGUCCAUUCCACGGGUUCCGUGCCGUAGCUAACGCUUUAAGUACCCCGCCUGGGGAGUACGGCCGCAAGGCUAAAACUCAAAGGAAUUGACGGGGCCCCGCACAAGCGGCGGAGCAUGCGGAUUAAUUCGAUGCAACGCGUAGAACCUUACCUGGGUUUGACAUGGAUCGGGAGUGCUCAGAGAUGGGUGUGCCUCUUUUGGGGUCGGUUCACAGGUGGUGCAUGGCUGUCGUCAGCUCGUGUCGUGAGAUGUUGGGUUAAGUCCCGCAACGAGCGCAACCCUUGUUCACUGUUGCCAGCACGUUAUGGUGGGGACUCAGUGGAGACCGCCGGGGUCAACUCGGAGGAAGGUGGGGAUGACGUCAAGUCAUCAUGCCCCUUAUGUCCAGGGCUUCACGCAUGCUACAAUGGCUGGUACAGAGAGUGGCGAGCCUGUGAGGGUGAGCGAAUCUCGGAAAGCCGGUCUCAGUUCGGAUUGGGGUCUGCAACUCGACCUCAUGAAGUCGGAGUCGCUAGUAAUCGCAGAUCAGCAACGCUGCGGUGAAUACGUUCCCGGGGCUUGUACACACCGCCCGUCAAGUCAUGAAAGUUGGUAACACCCGAAGCCGGUGGCCUAACCGUUGUGGGGGAGCCGUCGAAGGUGGGACUGGUGAUUAGGACUAAAU
rnacentral:rRNA from 1 species